rnacentral:rRNA from 1 species
UACGUAGGGUGCAAGCGUUAAUCGGAAUUACUGGGCGUAAAGCGUGCGCAGGCGGUCUGUUAAGACCGAUGUGAAAUCCCCGGGCUUAACCUGGGAACUGCAUUGGUGACUGGCAGGCUUUGAGUGUGGCAGAGGGAGGUAGAAUUCCACGUGUAGCAGUGAAAUGCGUAGAGAUGUGGAGGAAUACCGAUGGCGAAGGCAGCCUCCUGGGCCAACACUGGCGCUCAUGCACGAAAGCGUGGGGAGCAAACAGG